GAUGAGCGCUGACAGAAUGCUUAACACAUGCAAGUCAACUUGAACUUCGGUUUGGGUGGCGGACGGGUGAGUAACGCGUAAAGAACUUGCCUCACAGAUAGGGACAACAUUUGGAAACGAAUGCUAAUACCUGAUAUUAUGAUUAUAUGGCAUCGUAUAAUUAUGAAAGCUAUAUGCGCUGUGAGAGAGCUUUGCGUCCCAUUAGCUAGUUGGAGAGGUAACGGCUCACCAAGGCGAUGAUGGGUAGCCGGCCUGAGAGGGUGAUCGGCCACAAGGGGACUGAGACACGGCCCUUACUCCUACGGGAGGCAGCAGUGGGGAAUAUUGGACAAUGGACCAAGAGUCUGAUCCAGCAAUUCUGUGUGCACGAUGAAGUUUUUCGGAAUGUAAAGUGCUUUCAGUUGGGAAGAAAAAAAUGACGGUACCAACAGAAGAAGUGACGGCUAAAUACGUG
rnacentral:rRNA from 1 species